GUAGCUCUGUUCCUGAAUUGUUUUGAAAUUUCUUCAGAGUAGCCUCAAACAUGAUUCCAUGAUGGCUAGGGUGUUGUCAACAGGAGUUUUUGUUCUCUUUCCUAUUCCAGUGGGAUAGUUUUGUUUGUGCUGGGGACAUGUGCAGUUCUUGGCUCACGUAUGCUUGUGGGGUGCUUUGCUCCUGCGGCCUGUGAGAUGCCGUUGGUUAAUGCAUGCAUUAUUGUUAUGAAAUGAAUCUAUGAAUGUAAAACCAGAAGAUUUGCAGGGACAAUAUAUUUUAAUGCAUAAAACCUCAAGCAUGAAACCAAAUCCACAGAGCUUUUUCAGGGCUUUUGUUUUUUUCCUUGUGUGUGGUGAUUUCAUGGACUCAUUACCAAAGUCCUGGGGCCAAAGUGAUCCCUUGUGAAUCUUCUCCAAAGUUAGCUGAGGGAACCAAAAUGAAGAAAGGAGAUCAAUAUCUGAAGAUUUCUCUUCUUUAUUGUCAGAAAGCUGACAGGCAUUUCUUAUUUUUUAAAAGACAACAAGAAUUCAUUCAUAUCGUUUUUUUCAGAAACAGGCAAAGUAAUAGCUGCUGUAUGAAUUCUGCCAGAGUCCAACACCCAUGUUGCAUAAGGGUUGAGGAGACUGAUCUGGAAUCCCAGUUGACAACACGAAGAUGAACUCUCAGGGCUUGAGGUCUUGGCCAUACAUCAUACAGAUCUAAAACAGCUGGAUACAAGGAGGGAAGAUAAACACCCUUGUCUUUACUUCUUAACAAAAUACAUCAACCUUGUCCAAGAAGUGUUGCCUAUAGGCAUGAAAGAUGUGGCACAAAGCAUCUAUUCAAUCUUUGUCUCUUCUGAAAUCACCGUUCUGUGCAAAUUUAUAGUAUGAAGAUGGUUUUUCAGGAAGAAGCAACUUAGUGUCACAUCAGCUGAUGAAAUUAAGUUUGUUAUUCCCUGCCUAAAUCUUCCAUCUGGUAGCAAAAGCUCUACAGGGCUGGCAUUUAUCAAGAGAAGACACACAGAACAGCCUUGCAUAAAUAAUGGCACCGGUCCAAGUACAGCUGAGGUGGUUGCCAGCACAACUCCACUGAAGUCAAAGGAAUUGCACCAUGAGACCAUCAGAACUUGAAGAAAUAAGUGCCCAGAAAAACUGAAAAAAAAAACAACCACACAGUAGCGAUCAAAUGUGAAGGAUCCCAAUGGUGAGUUUUCUUUAAAAGUAUCUGAUUUUAUGCCAAUAUUUCCAUGGUUUGUUGGGAGGAGUGGAACAACAGACAGUAUUCAUUUAUGAUGCUGAAUUCUUGUAGUCCAGCUAACUCAGUGAUUCCAGGCCCCAGUCACUUGGGAUCAAUACAUAGUUCUAAAAGGAGUAGUCCAAAUGAAAACACCAUUCCUGGGCCCCAUUCCCAGGCCCCUAGAAAUGCAAAUUUAAAUAACAUUAAUGUCAAGAAAAGUCAUUCUUUGUCUGUCGUGACUAGACAGAUGAAAAUCUACGACGGCAAUUUUGCCUUUUAGGUCAUUUCCUUCUUUAAUUUAUUUAUGUUUAUUUAUCUUAUUUUAACAGGCUCUAUACUAAUUUUCCUCACAGAAUGACUAGCAGAAAUAGGACCCUUAAGUGCCUUUUGUAAUUAAUUCAUUAGGGCAACUCUAACCACUGAGACCCUUCUCGGGUGAUUUCUCUUAGGGAUAAGCAGCAAUUGACGUUAGAACACUGAAGCCAGGUUGAUGAGCCUAUUCCACAAGGUCUCUUGGCUCCACACAUGUGAAGUGAAAUCUGCCAGUUUCAUAGACUCUAUGAGCUAGUCACAUUGGUGGUGCCUUCUUCAGUAAAACCCUGGUGGCACUAUUUCACAGCGAAGCGCUUUGGAAGUGACUCGAGUUCAGAAGACUACAGGUAAGUGUUCCUGGGUUCUGUGGUUGUUACUGUUGAGGAGUUUGAGUACUUCCUUCACCUUGUCUGUUUUCCGUGAAAUUACUUACGUGGAUUCUAAGCUCCAUUCCAAGUACUGGGGGGGAAAAAAAAAGGCCUCCAAAACCCAAGUGCACACAGGUAAGCCUGACUUUGAAGAAUGUUCUGAAGUAUUUGGAAGAUUGAAAAACGGGCUGUGUGAAAAAGGUACCUUAAUGUGAAUGCAGAAUUUGCCUUGUGGUAAGUAGAAACAGAUUGGGAUUGAGGUGCAUCCCGGUCCCGCGGACAAAUGGUGAAAGGCAAAUAGAAAUCAUUGCAGAUUGUAGUUGAUGUCAACUGCCAUAUAAACUAUGGCCAUGCAAGUACCUUCUACUGUUUCACCUUCCCUUUCUGUUGUUGUCUGAUUACUACUCCAAUAUUACAUGUUCAGUGAAAUGUCAAAAAAACAAACAAACAAAAUAAAUAUAACUUUUUAAUUUUAACAACUCUACAUUUUUUCUUUCUCUAGGUCUUCCAGUAGCUGACAAGGUAGAAAGUUGUGCCUUUCUCUUUCAUCUUGUGAAGGAGGCAGUGCCGAUUUAAAAUAUGACUGAGGCUCUGCAAUGGUGCAAAUUCAUCUUACUACUUCACAUUCAGUGAUGCAACUGGAGUUUCCAUUAAUUAACUUUCAAGGAUUGAACCAAUUUAACGCUUUUGGACAAUGACAAUUAUCUGGAAACACUCCUACAGGCGAGUUACGGUAGCCUUCCAAAGCUUCGUCUAUCCUUGGGAUGUUCACACAAGUACGUUCUUCUUGGUAUGUCUCUAGAAUGCGCUUGAGGUUUUGUCAAAGGUUAAAGAAAUCCUAAGGAGCGUCAUGCACAGAUGUCUUGAGAGGUCUGCCAGUAGCUGACAAAGUAGAAAGGUGUGCUUUUCUGUUUCAUUCUUGUAUAGAGUUAGAGGCAAUGGCAAUGCAAUCCGUGACUGAGGCUCUGCAAUGGGGCAAGUCUAUCCUACUGCUUCAAGUUCAGUGAUGCAACCUGGGUUUACGCUACUUAACUUUCAGGGACUGAACCAAUUUAAUGCUUUUGGACUCUGACAAUUAUCUGAAAACGUUUCCACAGGUUUAUUUUCUUCUUCUACGUUUGUUUGCUAUCUCCAUCUCAUUCAAAGCAGUCAGGACUGCUUUGCUUCUCUCUCCUCUGGAAAAGUUCUCUGCACUAGGAACCAUGGUUAGAAUCAGAGUCCUGAUCUAAGAGUGUGAUGAAAAGUGUUGCGCUCCAAGUUGGAAACCGGAGAGGAAAAUGUUCACGUAUACGUAAGGAUUGUACGCAAACAGCUGAUUACACCUUUUCCUACACCUUAACAGCUGCUUACACCUUUUAAGGGAAAACUUUAUAAAGCUAUAUAGUUUAUAAAAACUUGAUAAAACUAUAUGGGUAGUUUCUACGUUUCCCUUAGGCAUAGCAUACUCUUUUGUAUUUUGCUUCUAUACAAACAGUUCAAACUUCUAAAGUCCCGUUGUCAGUCAUACAACCAAACAACCUUGCAUGGCAUUACAUGUUCCCCUCCACAUAGAUCAAGCCCUGAAUGCAAGAUCAGUCGAGUAAAUAAUGCCAACGCGUAAAACUAAUUUGAAAAUACGUUACUUUUUUUUUGGUGUGUGUCUGUGUGAUUUUUUUGGUUUUUUUGGCACUUUGUGGGUCUUGACAUUCUUCUCACUGCAGUACAGUUUUCUGGUGUGAACUGGAAUUAUACCUCUAUGCCACAAUGACCUUUUUUUGGGGUUGUGUUGAGGGGGGGGAGGAGAUGCAAAAUUCUCUGUGGUCACCUGAAGGAGUUGCAGCAUAAAAAAAUUAGGUGAAGGAAAAGUUCCUUCCCUGUUGUUGUUGUCUUUGUUUUCUUUUCCAUACGCUCUUAAAAUGAAGGUCCCAUUUUCUGGCCUUUGGCAGAUUGCAAGCAUGCUGGAACACUUCACUUAAUGUAGACCAUAGUUGUCCGAAAUGAUAUCAUACCUGUAGCAGGCUGAAAAGUAGCCUGUGCCUCAGGGACUGUUUUAUGCCUUUUGCUUAGAUAGAGUUAAUUUUCCUCCUAGGAGCUGGUAGGGUGCUAUGUUGUGGAUUAGGAUGAAAAGAGUGUUGAUACCACGCUGAUGUUUGAAUUGUUGCAGAGCAGUGCUUACACCAAGCCAAGGACUUUUCCAGCUUCUCGCUCUGUCCUGCCAGUGGGCACGCUGGGGGUGCAGCAGGAGCUGGGAGGGGACAGACCCAGGACAGCUGAC